GUGUUGUAACAGCCUGAGACAGUUGAAGUUAUACUCCACAAAUUCAGUAAGACGUGUCAGAAUGGAUUUCCGAGCAGCCGUUUUUCUGAUGUGUAUUUUGGUGUCAGCAUCCCUGAUCUCUCAAACUAAAGCAGUCAUUAGCCCUAUGCAUGGGAAAAGAACCUCAAAGUUUUCACCAGAAGCAGAUGAGGAGAACUUCAACCAGAACUCAUUUGACGAAGGACGGACUAUCCGAGAAUUAUGCGUGGCUAUGAGGGACGCUUGUGAAGAAGGAAACAGAAAGUGAUAUGAAAGCCUUUUGACAAGUUUGGAGCUUCGAUUCCUUGGGUCUUCUUGUAAUAAUCAAAACUAUAUAAGUUUAGUAGAAUAUCGUAUAUUGUAAGGAAAUAUGGCAAAAGCAAUAAAAUUAACUAUAAAAUACAAA